rnacentral:SRP_RNA from 1 species
AGCUGUCAUGGCCUAAGGGAAAACUGUCCGUCCUACGCUCUUCUUUCGUGAGUUUAUCUCACCGCGUCGGGUGCCUGGUUCGAAUCCGCGAGUCGCCAUCACACCCGUGUAGGGAACUCACGGUCGCUGUGUGGCGUUAAGCAAUGAGAAUGAUACUUCAGGGAAGCAAUUCUGCAGAGGCAUUUUCACUCAUGGAUGGCGGUGCCAGAAUACACUAGACGUCGUAGAUUGCGCUGGUCAGGUUGACUCUUUUUUU